CUCAUGGCUAUGCGAUUUAACUUUCAAUGGGCAAAUGUAAUUGAAUAACAAUAUUUUAAACAUUGUCCAUAAUCUAAAGAAUCUACCUCUAUGGCCAAAUAAUAAUGCACUAAAAAUUAUUUAAAAAGUACAGCAACUGUUAUUUCUCCAUGGAAUUGGAGGGAAAGGAAGCCAUUUUUAUUGAGCUGUUUGUGUUGAUGUUCUUAUUUAUAUGUGGUGCUCUGAUAUUUAUAACUGAGAUAUAAAUUUGUGCUUCGUAAAGUUCUAUUCAAAUCCUCCGUGGUCAUCAUAAACAAGAUUGGCGCGUGCCUCACCGGCGGAGGAGAGGAGGGGGCAGCCGGCCAGCUCGGGCCAGUCGCACAUGCGCAGCUCGGCGUGGUAGUGCAGCCCCUCCGGGCACACGUAGGUGUGCUUCAUGGACCACUCGCAGAGGUAGUAGACGGCGCAGUCCCGCGGGUCCCGGGCGAAGCCCUGGCCGGUGCAGUUGGGGUGGUCCUGCUCCACGGCCACCGGUGUGCCUGCCACCGGCGGCUGCAGCAGGACCGGCGCGGGGGCGCUGGUCUCCGGCGGGGCCUUCAGCCCCCCUGCGGCACAGGACAGGGCAUUCAUCUGCUUCAACAGCUAUUCCCGUCAAACAGCAUUUCUUGUUCUGUCACAAAUACAUUUAAUCAGGGAUGGGCUAAUCAAAUCUUUUCAAUACUAUCAAAUCCUUAGUAAUCAAAGGAUUCGAUAUUCGAAGAAAAAGAGUCAAAGAAAAAUAUUAGAGGAAAUAAAGUAAAUUUAAAAAUUCUCAACACUGAUAACCUAUUAAGUUUUACUAUGUCAAGUUUUUUUUUCUCUUCAUAUCUAUUGUUUUACCCUUCCCCAACAUAUUGUACUUUUAACAUGUGAAAUAUAAAUAAAAAUUUACAAUCUUGUAUUGACUCUGGAAACUUAGUUCAUGUAACACACUUUUAAAGGGUUGACUGUCUCAACACCACAGUUUUGAUAUGUUUUAUUUCUUGUAUCUUGUUGGGAUUCUAGGGGUACAUUUGAGGUACUCUUUGGGAUUCUAAUACGAGAUUAGGACUUGAGAAAAUUGGGUUAUGAAUCAUCGUAUUAUUCAACAAAUAUUUACUGAGAGGAAAUAUAUUGUCAUCCAUCAUGUGCACCGCUGUGUCACGGAUACCCUAAGACCGGGGACGGGGGCCUACGUUAUCAGCCGCCAAGCACGGUGAUACCCGUGGGGCAGGCAGGUCAUGGCAAGCGCACAUGGCAGCCAGUGUGUUCCGAGCUCGCCUUCCAGCCACACACACCUGCCUGAAACCCUCUGUGAGGAACAAGCCCCUGUCUGUGGUGCCCGGGACAUUAUCUUCUAGUCUGAGGCACGUCAAUAUGAUGGGUGUGAAAUGCCACACAAGUAUUUUUAAUUAUCACCACUUCCGCAACUUUUUACACCCAUUAUACUACGCUUAGUAAAUAUCAUUGAAAAUAUUUGUAGCAGAACAACAAUUGCAAGAGAUAUUUUGUGUCAGAUUUACUGAAAUGGCCUUUAACUAAAAGUAACAACAAGAGAAUUAAAAAAAAAAAAGGCCUGCCAGACUAAGCCUUAAGGUGACGGGACAUCCAAGAUGAUUUUGAAAAAUUUAUCAUUUCCGUACCAUGUACACUAUCAAAAUUGUUCUGAUUUAUUUUAAAACCUUGAAUUUAGGGUUGUGCGAUUCCAUGAUUUUCAGUUCGAUUCGAUUCCGAUUCGAUUCUCAUCACAAGAGUUGAAAUUCGAUUCCGAUUUCGAUUCUUUGGGUAACUUUAUCUACAUAGUCAUUAGUCUGGUAGGACUAACUAAAAAAAAAUUGCAUUUAUUUUGAACCAUAUGUAUUUAACUUAAAUGAAUAAGAAAUACAAUUCUGGAAGAUGACUGCGGCCCUUAAACUUGCCACAAUUUUCAUCCAUUACUUAUUUAAUCACUUCACCACUGUUUAAAGAUGUCAAAUGUUACCAACGGUAAAGUCAGCUGCCUCACUGGAGUCCGAGAUAGUGCGAUGCGUGCUGCGCUAAGAAGUAUAAUUUAUUAAUUAACCUACAUUUGCACAUAUGACGUAUUAAGCAUGGCCUAGCCAGUAGGUUUAUUUAAAUUAAAACCAAUAAGUAACAUAUAUUUCUUUGUUUUUUUCAACAAGAUCUGUUCCCCUAAAAACGGAAAAAAUACGUAAAUAUUAUUAAUUUAUUAACUUCACGAAGUUAAACCACACAACAAUGAUCAGCUUUAAUUAAGUUUUGUAAAAGGCAAAAGCAUAAACAGUAAACAGUACUUCGAUACUGACAGAAUGUUACGAUUCAGUGAUUCGAUUCCUUUGUGUCUCGGCACGCGCGAUCAAUGAUAAAUGGUGGCCUGUCACGGUAGCCUACAACUCACGUAGUUUCGGUUCCCUACCACGUUCGUGCAACUUCGGAUUUCUCUCAAAAAUUGAAAUUAAAAAAAAUCGAAGGGUUGGGUUAGGUUAGGUCAGUCACAACAUGCUUUUUUUCAUUGGAAACUUCUGAUUUAGCGGCUGAAGUGGCGUUAAACCCAAAAUGCAAAACUUCGGAAAUCUUCGGAAAUUCUUGCAGGGAACCGAAACUAUGUGAGUUGUAGGCUUCCCGGCGUGUCAACGGGUCUAUACGUCCGGCACCGCUAAAAUAUUUUUAUGUCGUGAAUGUUUUAAUGUUGGUUAUUCUGUUAACAGAAGACUGUCACAGAAUGGCGAUCUUUGUAAAUGUAUGGUUGAACAAGGAACUAUUUUAACUGUUAACAGAAAAUUGUGCGUUGAUGGUUGUAAAAUUCAUUUUUAAUAUGUGUUAUUUAUUUUUCAAAACAAAUAAACCAACAAUAUUUUUUUCCCGUGCAACGUGAGAAAUGGUCAUGAGUAAUAUGCCGUAAGUAGGCAGAAAUAAAAAUGUUUGAGCAGAUGGUUAAACUAUUUCAUAAAGAAGCAGUUUUCGUAAGGUAUUUAUCUUUGCAAGCCUAAACAUUUAGUGGUUCUGAACGUGUAAAUUAUAUCAUACACGAUCUUUGAAAAGAAUUUAAUGUUCGGCCUAACCUAUAUUUCAUAACGUUAUGAAAUUUGCUUGAGUGAAAGUGCGCGGCAAUUAUACGAGUUACAUUAAUGAUAAUUGAUGAAUAAAUUUAUUUCUAGCAAUCAGUUGAACGGUAACCGUCAAUUUCUUCGAUUUUUUUACUUUUGAAAAAAUUGCCAGAAUUUUUCGAUUCCAAAUUUUAGUUUCGGUUCCGGGUUCAAAUAGUUGAGGAAUCGAAUCGAAGUUGAAAUUAUCGAGUACCCGCACAUCCCUACUUGAAUUAUUAUCUACAACUUUUGUCUGAAAUAAUUUUUUAUACAACCUACCAUGACUGCCAUGACCUGAGAUUAUUUAGGUCACUUGCUUACAUCACACUGACAAGCCUGUAAUAGCUCAGACAUAACAACACUACAUCAUGCCAGUCAGCCAAUCCAACUUCCGACCCCCGAAGAUGACACGAGAACAUAACACCACAAACCAAUGUGUGGGGUGCAACUGAAUUGAAAUCAUUUGGUGAGUCAUAGUAACUUCAGUUUCUGGUCUUGCAAUACUAACUGGCCCGGCUGGCAAAUAAUGGAUAGGCGGCAUCCUGGCAGGGCUGGAGUUCCAUCGUAGCAGCCGACGAGGGAGGGCGUAUUGACUGUUAGUUUUAAGAAUUCAAAGGAAACUGAUGCCACGACCUGAAGAGGAGUGAAGAGUGAAAAAUACUGCGUACUUCGUAGGAAUAAACUCUGCACAGAUAUGAAAAAAAUAUUUCUUAAUACUUACUUAAUAAAAAUAGUCUCAUUUUGAUUGACACAUAGACGAUAAAAUAAUUUGUAGAUAGCAUGUCUAGAAAAGAACUACUCAAAAAAAUAAAAAUAACUCGCCAUAUUUUUGAGUGUUUGAAAAUAACGUAAAAUAUGUAAAUAAUACGAGAUGCAAAAUAAAUUUUUUACAAUCAA